rnacentral:tRNA from 1 species
GCGCCCGUAGCUCAACGGAUAGAGCAUCUGACUACGGAUCAGAAGGUUGGGGGUACGAAUCCCUCCGGACGCACAA